rnacentral:rRNA from 1 species
GACAGAGGAUGCAAGCGUUAUCCGGAAUGAUUGGGCGUAAAGCGUCUGUAGGUGGCUUUUUAAGUCCGCCGUCAAAUCCCAGGGCUCAACCCUGGACAGGCGGUGGAAACUACCAAGCUGGAGUACGGUAGGGGCAGAGGGAAUUUCCGGUGGAGCGGUGAAAUGCGUAGAUAUCGGAAGGAACACCGGUGGCGAAAGCGGCGCGCUGGAUCCCUACUGACGCUGAGGCACGAAAGCCAGGGGAGCAAACGGG